rnacentral:rRNA from 1 species
UACGUAGGGUGCGAGCGUUAAUCGGAAUUACUGGGCGUAAAGCGUGCGCAGGCGGUUAUGUAAGACAGUUGUGAAAUCCCCGGGCUCAACCUGGGAAUUGCAUCUGUGACUGCAUAGCUAGAGUACGGUAGAGGGGGAUGGAAUUCCGCGUGUAGCAGUGAAAUGCGUAGAUAUGCGGAGGAACACCGAUGGCGAAGGCAAUCCCCUGGACCUGUACUGACGCUCAUGCACGAAAGCGUGGGGAGCAAAC